GGUCUGAUGGCGUAGUUGGUUAUCGCAUCUGUCUAACACACAGAAGGUCCCCAGUUCGAGCCUGGGUCAGAUCA